rnacentral:rRNA from 1 species
CGCGGUGAAUACGUUCCCGGGCCUUGUACACACCGCCCGUCAAGCCAUGGAAGUCAGGGAGACCUGAAGACGGUAACCGCAAGGAGCCGUUUAGGGUAAAACUGGUAACUGGGGCU